AAGAGUCCUGUGAAGCCGUGGCUUUGAGCAGGGUUCGGUGUGGGUUUAAGGGCUGAUGACUGAAGAUGAAUUGAUUCCGAUCCUUCCAAAUGCACCAAAGAACUGUGGCAACCAGUUCAAACUUCUGUGAGUCUCCUUGCGUCACAAAAUAUUUAGAUAACAAUUCAUCAAACCUUGUUAAGCCAACGCGAUUUGUACAUGUUUUCAGGUUUGGGUCUUUCCAAAUGUGGGCUGUCCAGGGGCAGAGCAAUAAAGUAUGCUCAAUCGUCUCAGGUUCCAACUUGCAUAAUGGGCAUAUCGAUUCAGGUGCUAUCUUUCUCCUAUAAAGAUUAUCCAGGGUAGGAAGCGCAUUUUGGCAUGCACUCCAUAGGAAGAAUUUUAUUUUCGGUUGUAGCACAGAGUUCCAGAUAAGCUUCCAAAUGAGUGGGUCAAACUGGUGUGAUGUUGUUGGCGUAGAUUGUCUAUGCAUAUGUGGUUUCCUGUUUGAAAAGUAACCACUCUUUACCAUAUAUUUUCCCGAUUUGUUAUCUGUCCAAACCAACAUAUCUUCACUAGUUGGGAGUCCGAAAGGUGUUUCCUUAAUUUCUGAUGUUAAGGAUUCAUCAAAUAGGGAUAGCAAUAUGUCUUCCUUCCAAAUACCAGCUUCAAAGUCAAUCAAAUCGGCAACUUUUGUUUGUUCAUUGGACGCUGGCCUUCCUCCAAUCCGUCCUGAUUUGAGCCACUUAUCCUCUCUAAUGGAAAUUUUUUGUCCAUUACCCACUGCCCAUAUCAUCUGAGGAGCAAUCGCAUUUCUGCCAGCCAAUAAACUUUGCCAUCCCCACGAUGGUCGAGAGCCUUUCCCUACUUGCCAGAAGUUACAGUUUGGGAAGUAAAGUCCUUUCAUGAAUUUGUUUAAGAGUGUGCUCAGACAUUGAGAAAUCCUUCAGGCUUGUUUACCUAACAUAGCCGUAUUAAAAGCUUGUAGAUCCUUGAAGCCAAGCCCGCCUUCAUUCUUACGUAGUUUUAACAUAUCCCAUUUACGCCAGUGUAGAGCAGAAUUCUUGUUAGAACUUCGCCACCAGAAGGUAGCGAUUUUCCUCUCAAUUGCUUUAAUAAUAAAGAUUGGGAUUCUGAAGAUUGACAUAGCAUAUUGAGGUAUUGAUUGAACUACUGCUUUGAGAAGAAUCUCUUUUCCAGCUCGUGAAAGCAAAUUAUCCUUCCAACUUUCCAACUUUGAGUUGACCCUGCCCAAUAUCCAAGCGAACAUAUCUUUUUUUUAGGACCCCCAGUCUGAAGGGAUACCUAAAUAUUUCCCAGUUUUCGCAAUUUCGGGAAUUCGCAGCACCGAUACCAUAUCUCUUCUAAGACUAUUUGGACACCCUUUGCUGAAAAAUAGUCCGGAUUUGUUGAGAUUUACGGCUUGACCAGAUGCGUAGCAGUAGUGAUUAAGAAUAGUUGACAAGUUUUGACAUUCCUGUACUGAGCAAUCUAGGAAGAAAAUAGAAUCAUCAGCAAAUAGUAAAUGGGAAAGGGUUGGGCAAGUACGGUUCAGCUUGAUGCCAUGAAUUGUACCCUCUGCUAUUGCUUUCUUCAUCAUGUAAGAUAGAACGUUAGCUACGAUAAUGAACAAAUAAGGCGAUAAUGGAUCCCCCUGGCGAAUACCCCGAGAUGGCUUGAAAUAAGGUAAAGAUUCACCGUUGAGAUUGAUGCUAUAUGAUACUGUGGUAAUACACUGCAUAAUCCACUUCACCCAAUCGGCAUUAAACCCCAUUUUAUGUAAACAUUCCUGUAAGAAAUCCCAUUCGAUUCUGUCAUAGGCUUUUUGCAUGUCAAGUUUAAGAAUAGCCUGAAACUUCUUCCUCCUGUCUCGAGUCCGUAACCGGUGGAUAACCUCUUGAACAAUUAGAAUGUUGUCUUGUAUUUGCCGAUUCCCGACAAAAGCACUCUGCUCUUCAGCAAUAAUGGCUGGUAAGAAAGGUUUAAGUCUAUUUGCAAGGAUUUUAGAAAUGAUUUUGUAACUAAAGUUACACAGACUUAUGGGCUGAAAUUGUUCUAACCUUUCUGGGUUUGUAAUUUUAGGGAUAAGAGUGAUUCGGGUUCUAUUCAUGGCUGGGUUGAUGGUUCCAGAGUCAAAGAAACGUUGUACUUCCCUGAAUAUAUCCCCACCUAUGUCUUGCCAGUGCUGAUGGAAAAAUAGGCCAUUCAGACCAUCCGGUCCAGGAGCUUUGGUAGCCCCCAUUUGGUGAGUAGCUGUAUAAACUUCUUCCAUAGUCACCGCUUCUGUUAGUUUUGUGUUCAUAGCUACACUAACUGAUACUGGGAUCUGAUCAAAAAUAGGCUGAAAAUUUCGCGGUCCUACCGAAGUGUAUAAGUUGUUGAAGUAAUCCACCGUCAUAUGUUGAAGAUUCUCAUGAUUUCUCACCCAAUCGCCUUCGGCAUUCAUUAGCAUCGAGAUACGGUUCCUGUUUCUCCGUUGAAUAGUGGCUGCAUGAAAAAAUUUUGUAUUUCGAUCCCCCCAUUUCAGCCAUUUGACUCGAGAUCUGAUCGCCCAAAACAUUUCUUCCCGACGCCACAGGGAGUCGAUUUCUUUAUGUAUAUUCUGAAUUCUGCUCUGAUUAGACUUCAAUAUAGGGUUAUUCAUGUGAGCGACAAGCUCAUUUUUCAGUCCCUCAAUUUGUUUCGAAGCAUUGGGGAACUGAUUUUUGCUCCAGGCCGUCAAUUGCAUGACAACAAUAGAUAGUUUAUCCACCAUGUUCUUCGUGUGAGACAUCUCCCAUGCCCUCUUGACAAUUAUCUUGCAUUCAUCAUCCUCCGACCAAAAUGGUUCAUAUCUAAACUGUCGCCUUUUACGUGAUAGAACAGGUAAUGUUGACAAGAGAAGAGGACUGUGAUCUGAACCAAUGGCUGGUAAGGCUGUAACUUCAGCAUUCGGGUACGCUAUCCUCCAUUCCAUCGUGCAUAAUGCUCUGUCCAGCCUUUCUUUGACAUUUUCAUCACCCUCUCUUCUAUUUGUCCAGGUAAAUGCGCACCCUUUGGCUUCCAGAUCCAUUAGGGAACUAGCAUAUAAAAAAUCUCUGAAUGCGAUCAGGCGACAGUGUUCAACCAUCCUCUUUCCUACCUUUUCCCAAUGAUAUAAUAUUUAUUAAAAUCUCCGAUGCAUAUCCAAGGGCUGUGAUUGGAGAUAUUAAUUCUUUGUAUUUCAUCCCAGAGUAUAAGACGUUCAUGAAAUGCAUUAGGAGCAUGUAGGAAAGUGAUUUGCAUAUUCCGUCUAUUUUCAUGCAAACAGCAAUGCACAUUAAUAUAGGAAGUAGAAUGAGAAUUGAUUGAAAGAGAAACCUGAUCAUCCCAAAAAAGAGUCAAACCUCCCGAUAAACCUUCUGGAUUCACAAUGAAACUGUGAGGAUACUUAAGCCUUCUUCUCAACCGAAUAACUUUCUGCUCUUGGUUCUUUGUUUCCAUAAGAAAUAUAAUAUUAGGUCUUUCCUGAGUCGCAAGGACCCUAAGUGCUUGAAUUGUCAGGGGAGACCCCAAUCCCUG
rnacentral:lncRNA from 1 species